AAUGUGGGAGAGGCCGGCGGCUCUGACCUUGGUGUGUUACAGCCCUCGCCACCUCCCUCCGCUGCCCUGCAUGGGGACUCAAACCACAAACAGCAGUUCGGAAACAAGCAGACACGCGUCGGGCUCUGGUUCACGGGGAAGAGCGCUGUUUAGGAGACGGACGUGCUCCACGCAGACACGCGUCCGGCUCUGGUUCACGGGGAAGAGCGCUGUUUAGGAGACGGACACGCUCCACGCAGACACGCGUCGGGCUCUGGUUCACGGGGAAGAGCGCUGUUUAGGAGAUGGACGCGCUCCACGCAGACACGCGUCCGGCUCUGGUUCACGGGGAAGAGCGCUGUUUAGGAGAUGGACGUGCUCCACACAGACACGUGUCGGGCUCUGGAUCACGGGGAAGAGCGCUGUUUUGGAGAUGGACACGCUCCACGCAGACACGCGUCGGGCUCUGGUUCACGGGGAAGAGCGCUGUUUAGGAGAUGGACACGCUCCACGCAGACACGCGUCGGGUUCCGGCUCAUGGGGAGGAGCGCGCUGUUUAGGAGAUGGACACGCUCCACACCACCUCUGGCGUCCUCUCUCCCCUCAGGCUCUUGGGCAUUCAGAGCCAGGAGCUGCUUCUGGGGAGGCAGAGAUCCCUCCAAGCCCUAGGAAAGGCCUCCUGCUGCCUCGGGGGCAAAGCUGUGUCAGGCUCUUCUCUCCACGCUCCCCAAGGGAGGGGAGGUGCUCAGGAACAGACCAGGAGACUCAGUUGGUGCCAGGAUGGUGCCCGUGACCAGGGAGAUGUGCACAUGCGUUCAGCGUCACUGGGGAAGGGGCAGCCACACAGGGAGUCUCAGGCUGUAGCUGAAACCCCAGGCGUUUCCCUAAAGCACCAGCGUCCAGAACUGAAGAAGGGACCAGCCCCAUCCUGCCCCAGACCACAGUGGGGAACCUUCCAGGGCCAGUCUCCCCCUGCUGUCCUUCCCGCAGGGCCAGGGGCUGGUCAGCAGCACAGGCCGCCCCCGGCGCUGCAGUCCUGGACGUCCAUGGCUGACAGCUCCUGGGCCUGGAACACUGCCCUUUCCUCCAGCUCUGCAAAGACACUCGAGGUUCCAGCCAGGACAGGGGACAUAAAGGGGGUCAGCCCUCACGGACAGUGUUUCCAUAGAGGGUUCAGGAGGUUUAUAAACACCAGCAGGAUGGAUGACACCACAGCCACCACAGGAGCCAGCACCCAAGAGACCCCGUGAGAUGCCAAGGGUCACUCGUGCCCGAGGUGCCCUCCGGAACCGGAGACUACAGAUACCAGGGGAUGCUUGGGCUGAGUGUGUCCAGCCACGAAGGUUACUGCCCGGCCCUGGGAGGUCACUGGGACCAGGAGCUGCCCCCACAAGGAAUGGGCGGAAGGAAAGGGUGACCGAGUGCCCGGCCCCGUGCCCGUGGCUCAGGAAGACAUGCUGUGUUUGCAUUUGUGUUGUUCCCGGAGCGAGGGGAUGAGAAGCCUGAGGCCGGCCCGUCCCUGCUCCAGACGCCCCCCCACCGCUCCCCCUCAUAGGAGCCAAGGAGGAGGAAGUGCUUCAUUCUUUGCAGAGAAUACUCCGCCUGAUGCAAUUUGCGUGUGCAAGAUGUGUGAAGUGCCUUUUCCAUUUCAUCAGCACCCACAGCCUGUAUGAAGCUGCUGUUCGCUCUCUGCCAGCUCGUGGGGCUUGAAUGGUAUCACGGGAGGUUCUUCAUCUUGCGGUGGGAGGGUCGUGUCCUGCUGAUGGCUCUGCGUUUUCAUUGACCACAUUCAUUACAAAGAGACAUUUCAAAACAUGUUCUGCAGCGGAUUUGCUCCUUGGCCCCAAGAAUGGAAUACAGAUAAUCUCCUCACAUCCAGCAGGAAGCACUGGUUUUCUUUCGGGACACAACCGAACGUGCCAGGACUGCAGGAGCUGCUGGAUUAUGGAGCAGCAAACCAGGCAUGGCAGGCGGUGCUCGCGGAGGUACCACGGGGCGGACCAGGGUGUGCAGCGUUACGUGACUUGGGAAGAUGUGGGGGGCCCGAUGUAUCUACCAGGAGACAGUGGAGACCUCUACCCUUUAGCUGUCCUCUGUCCCACACAACCCAGCCCCCACUGGGCGGCCACUAUAGGGGAAGCUCAGCUGGAAGGUUCCAUGGGAGAGACCAGACCACUCCUGGCACUGUCCAGCAGCUGCCUUCGGCCCGUGUUCUGAAACCGGGAUGCACACAGCAUGGAGAUCUCAGCCCUGGGCAGGCCUUGCCCCCUCCAGCAGCUGCUCUCGGCCCAUCUCCCAAAGCCUGGACGCAUACAGUGGGGAGACCUCAGCUCUGGGCAGGCCUGGGUUCCCAUCGCCUCGGCGUCCCUGGGCCCAGGACACGGAAAGCACUUGCUACGUGCUGUGUACAAGAAUGAACGAAUCGGCCUGCCUAGCACCCCUUGGCCAGCUCCAGGCCUCCACUUGCUGUGUCAAGUGAGGCUCCCACGUGCUGAGGGGACAGAGGGUCCCUGUGACCUGCGAUGCUCCCACUCUCACCCACGCAGCUGCUCACCUACACAGCCGGCUUCUCCAGGGCUAACAGGCCACCCAGAUGCAAGCCAGUCUCAGCCCCUGACCACACUGGUUUUCAAAUGAACUGUGGGCUCUCAUGACGGAGAAGUGGCUGGGAGUCCCAGUGUGGGAUGUGGUGGGACGGGGCUGGGGUCUGUACAGAGACGAUGAUGGAGGAGCUCCUGGGGGCACAAAGACCUAGUGUCGCUCUCAGGGCUGGGUCUGCAGGCCACUCUCCCUCCCUCAACAACACUCACGCCUGCUGUAGCCCCAGGAAGGGUCAGGACUCACAGAUGCCAACAAGCAAGCAGCCCAUGCCGGAAGCAUCACCACCACCGGCCCCAGCAAAGGCUUCCUGGUAUGUGCGGCUGACCAUCGGCCACUCGGGUAGACAGAAGUGCGGGUGGGCUGUGUGCAUGCCAGGGCAGACGGACAGCCCGGGGUCUCAGGCCAAUGGAAACAGGAAGUUUCCGGCUCCAUUUGAAUACUGGUGGAAAUGCUGGGCCCUCGCACUGAAUAGGACGCUCCAUCCAAGCUUGCCGCCUCCUCGGAGGCUGGGGCCAGUCACCAGGCCUGGCUGUGCUUUCACAGCUGCUUUUCUUAUGGGAGAGCAAGAUCUCCUGGGAUUCAAGACCCUACCAGGAGGAGAAGACGAGGGUCAUGGGAAGGCUGUGUGAGCCCUCAAGGGGCACCAUGGACCCCGAGCACCAGCGAUUUGCGCUCCUGGUUCCGAGAGCCCAGGGCUGAAUCCUGGCAGACGGGGAAGCUGAGCUCUGUCUGACCUGCUCUGGAAAACAACUGGUCCAGAGAAGGACAGAGAUGUCACUUAAUUCUGAGUUGCUGAGGAUAAGCCAGGGGCCCUGGAGGUGACUCUGCUGCCCACAGCAUCCCAGGGGAUGCCACAUCCCCACAGGGGCAGCCCGGGUCCCCCAUAGGAUUGUGUGCCCCCCAUCACCAAGGUCCUUGCCCACUGGUCUGUGCCUCAAUAGGACAGCCUCCUUCUCACACUAUUUUGAAAUAUAAAAAUAACACUCAUCACCCAUCACCCAGUCACUCAGAAUCACACCAGCAGGGGCACAGAGGCGACGGCAUGUAGUUCUCCAGCCUGUUUGUGAGCACGGGUGUACAUGUACACACACACACACACACAAAUGCACAUGUACGGACACAUGCACACACACACGUGCACAUACAGACAUGCACACGCACGUACACACAUGCACACACACACACGUACGCACAUGCGGGGUCAGGGAGCUGUUGCUGUGCGAGGCUGUCGAGGGCUUCUUCACUCAGCGGCACUUGGGAAGCGCUGCUCUGCGGGAGGCCCCUCAUCCAUGUCCUCGUUAUUGGCAGCACAAGUCUCCAAGUGAGGAGGGGCCAUGUUUACCAGCUGUCCUUCCAGCCCACGUCUCCUACGGUUCCUUAUUUUCACAGGUACUGUUUUGCAGACGCAGAUCCCCCAAGCAGCCCACACGUCUUAUCCGGGUGAAGCUUUGCUUUAUGAAGUGCUGCCUGGACCCCUGAUGGUCGGCCCUCCCCGUGGAGACAGUGGCAGGCAGGCGGGGGCGCUCAGGGCUGUCUGCGGGGGGCAGCCAGGACCUCACUGAGGUGGCCGACUGGGUCCACGCCCUCCUCAGCCUGCACUGCUGGACAGGCCCCAAGAAGUCGCGCUCGGCGUGGCCCAAGAACGGGAAGCGGCAGCGUCCUGGCGUCCUGGGUGAGACUUCAAGACGGCUCCCUGCUCCCACCUGGGCUAAAGGUGGAACCCCAGGUGUAAAGAGCCCCUGGGGUACAGGGGAAGCUGGAUCAGCAGACGCCGGCUCUGGGAGGGCCCUGAGGGGCUAUGGAGGGAAGGUGACCCCGCAGUGGCAGCGGCAGCGGCAGCGGAAGCAGGACGGCGCGGCGCCCGACGCCUGAGGCCACUCUCCCUGGACGGGGGGCGGGCGGCACUGAGAGGCGGCCAUAAAAACCAGAGUUUAUUUAAUAAAACAAGAGCCCAUGCGGC
rnacentral:antisense_RNA from 1 species